rnacentral:rRNA from 1 species
GAGUUUGAUCCUGGCUCAGAACGAACGCUGGCGGCGUGCUUAACACAUGCAAGUCGAACGUGAUCCAGAGCUUGCUCUGGUGAAAGUGGCGCACGGGUGAGUAACGCGUGGAUAACCUGCCCUGGUAUCUGGGAUAACAUCUCGAAAGGGGUGCUAAUACCGGAUAAGCCUACGGACUCCUCGGAGUCUGCAGGAAAAGGAGGCCUCUAUUUAUAAGCUUCCGUAUCAUGAUGGGUUCGCGUACCAUUAGCUAGUUGGUGGGGUAAUGGCCUACCAAGGCGACGAUGGUUAGCUGGUCUGAGAGGAUGACCAGCCACACUGGAACUGAGACACGGUCCAGACUCCUACGGGAGGCAGCAGUGGGGAAUUUUGCGCAAUGGGGGAAACCCUGACGCAGCAACGCCGCGUGAGUGAUGAAGGCUUUCGGGUCGUAAAGCUCUGUCAGAGGGGAAGAAAUGAAACGUGCUAAUAUCACGUUUUCUUGACGGUACCCUCAAAGGAAGCACCGGCUAACUCCGUGCCAGCAGCCGCGGUAAUAC